rnacentral:rRNA from 1 species
AGUGAACGCUGGCGGUAGGCCUAACACAUGCAAGUCGAACGGCAGCACAGUAAGAGCUUGCUCUUACGGGUGGCGAGUGGCGGACGGGUGAGGAAUACAUCGGAAUCUACUUUUUCGUGGGGGAUAACGUAGGGAAACUUACGCUAAUACCGCAUACGACCUUCGGGUGAAAGCAGGGGAUCUUCUGACCUUGCGCGAUUGAAUGAGCCGAUGUCGGAUUAGCUAGUUGGCGGGGUAAAGGCCCACCAAGGCGACGAUCCGUAGCUGGUCUGAGAGGAUGAUCAGCCACACUGGAACUGAGACACGGUCCAGACUCCUACGGGAGGCAGCAGUGGGGAAUAUUGGACAAUGGGCGCAAGCCUGAUCCAGCCAUACCGCGUGGGUGAAGAAGGCCUUCGGGUUGUAAAGCCCUUUUGUUGGGAAAGAAAAGCAGCAGGUUAAUACCCCGCUGUUCUGACGGUACCCAAAGAAUAAGCACCGGCUAACUUCGUG